UACAGAGGUCCCGAGCGUUGUUCGGAUUCAUUGGGCGUAAAGGGUGCGUAGGCGGCGGGGAAAGUCUGAUGUGAAAUCCUGGGGCUCAACCCUGGAACUGCAUUGGAUACUUCCUUGCUAGAGUACUGGAGAGGAAACUGGAAUUUACGGUGUAGCAGUGAAAUGCGCAGAUAUCAGGAGGAACACCGGUGGCGAAGGCGGUUCUCUGGGCCUUACCUGACGCUGAGGAGCGAAAGCGUGGGGAGCAAACAGG
rnacentral:rRNA from 1 species